rnacentral:rRNA from 1 species
UGGGGAAUUUUGGACAAUGGGGGAAACCCUGAUCCAGCCAUCCCGCGUGUGCGAUGAAGGCCUUCGGGUUGUAAAGCACUUUUGGCAGGAAAGAAACGUCGCGGGUUAAUACCCCGCGAAACUGACGGUACCUGCAGAAUAAGCACCGGCUAACUACGUGCCAGCAGCCGCGGUAAUACUGUAGGGUGCAAGCGUUAAUCGGAAUUACUGGGCGUAAAGCGUGCGCAGGCGGUUCGGAAAGAAAGAUGUGAAAUCCCAGAGCUUAACUUUGGAACUGCAUUUUUAACUACCGGGCUAGAGUGUGUCAGAGGGAGGUGGAAUUCCGCGUGUAGCAGUGAAAUGCGUAGAUAUGCGGAGGAACACCGAUGGCGAAGGCAGCCUCCUGGGAUAACACUGACGCUCAUGCACGAAAGCGUGGGGAGCAAACAGGAUUAGAUACCCUGGUAGUCCACGCCCUAAACGAUGUCAACUAGCUGUUGGGGCCUUCGGGCCUUGGUAGCGCAGCUAACGCGUGAAGUUGACCGCCUGGGGAGUACGGUCGCAAGAUUAAAACUCAAAGGAAUUGG